GUAAGUGCUCCCAGCUGUGUGCUAUGGUCCUCUUAAGUGGUGUCGUUAACUAUUUUGGAAGCGCUCUUCCGUGAGCCCCUCGAAUGAGGGCAAGGUCUUAGGCACCUGUGCAGCCGAGCUCAGAGACCCCCCCCCCCCAUAUGCCUUUCUGUGCUUUAUCUGGAACGAUCGAUACCCGAGGUCGGUUUUGGAAAGCGGCUUCCCGCGCUGAUCCGGUGCGGUGGGGACCUGAAGAUGCGCGGCAGCCUCCCGGACCACCGCGCGAUCCCUGGAAGGCCGGCGCGCCCAACCAGCCUCUUCCCCGACUUUCCCUCGCUGCUUGAGUUUUCUAGAGCCUCUUUCCCUUCCACUCUCAGUCUUCCCUUCCUUUCUAUGAGCUCUCGCGGGCUCCACAUUCAUUUUCUACUUUGAGUAGCCACGUCUCUUUCAACCCGCGCUCCCUCAACCCUUAAGUCAUCCAUUAAGUUCCUUUUUCACUUUUUUCUUCCAUCCCCCACGCCCUCGAUCUUUGGUUGCCAAUACUGAUCUUUCUUAGCUAGUGAUUGUAUUUCGCGUCUCUGCUCCUUAACCAAAGGCGCCCUAACCUCACGGCUCUCCAUGCCUCGGGUUUUCCCUCUUGGUCUCUCGCCUCCCAUCGUCAGGGCCAGACCUGAGCAGACACUUCACUGCCUGGCGAGCAAGACCGCUCCGCCACCUCCCAGCGGCGGGGCAGGAGCAAGUUAACAUCUUGAAAAGAUGGAAAAAUCUGCAGCGCCCCCUUAGGAGCAGCUUCCGGCAUCGGCCCUUAACCCUGGCCCGGGAAGGGAGCAGAGACAAAAAUACCCAGCAAUGUUUCUUUGGCUGCGCUGUCGACUUUCGCCUCCUAAUCUCGGUUAAAUCAACUCGGGAUCACUGAUGCAGCAUCUGAGCUCAUCAACAUGUCUUUGAGAACGAUCCCUCCGCCAGCCUUUGGGACUUCACUCGGGUUCAAGGAUCACCUUUUUCAAAUUCACCUUGACUGCAAUCUAGAGACUUGCAGACAGCAGCCCACCAGGCUCCUGCGUCCCUGGGAUUCUCCAAGCAAGAACACUGGAGUGGGUUGCCAUGUCCUUCUCCAGUGCAUGAAAGUGAAGAGUGAAAGUGAAGUCGCUCAGUUGUGUCCGACUCUUAGCGACUCCAUGGACUGCAGCCUACCAGGCUCCUCCGUCCAUGGGAUUUUCCAGGCAAGAGCACUGGAGUGGGGUGCCAUCGCCUUCUCCAUCUGUGCACCUAGGGCAAAGUAUUUACUUCUGUGAGCCUCAGUGUCCUUAUCUAUAUAGGAGGAAAAUCAAUUUAACCUGAGCUUCCUACCUUAUAGGUUGUUAUGAAAAUCAUAUGUGAUCAUAUAUGUUUAUAUAUGUAUGUAUAUAUGUAUAUUUAAUAUAUG
ensembl:lncRNA